rnacentral:lncRNA from 1 species
UUGGGGCAAGUAUGGACACAACAUUCAAGCUGGAUUCAGCUCUGAAUUUGGAUUGUGAUUAAAUAGUUGACACAGCAUAGGUUUCUGACACAGAAUGAAUGUUGUCUAAUGAACUAAAACAUUUUUUUUGCUUUUGAGCAAUUCACUUUGCUGUUGAAUAUUAAUCCUCUAAAAAAAAAAAGAUGUUUGAAGAAAUUUUCUUUUUAUUUCUGAAAUCUGAAAAAUUGAACACCCACCCAUUUUUUUUUCAUCUUCCCCUUUCCCUUAUUCCAAAAAUGAUCUCAAUUCAAAUUUCUAAUGAAGUUUGCAACAAUAACUACUCAUGUAAAUACAUCAUAAAAUAUUAAAAUAUAAAAUGUCAU